UGGGGAAUUUUGCACAAUGGGGGAAACCCUGAUGCAGCGACGCCGCGUGAUUUAGAAGGCCUUCGGGUUGUAAAAAUCUUUUCUACGGGAAGAAAAUGACAGUACCAUAGGAAUAAGGACCGGCUAAUUACGUGCCAGCAGCCGCGGUAAUACGUAAGGUCCGAGCGUUGUCCGGAAUCAUUGGGCGUAAAGGGUACGUAGGCGGGUAAGCAAGUUAGAAGUGAAAUCCUAUAGCUCAACUAUAGUAAGCUUUUAAAACUGCUCAUCUUGAGGUAUGGAAGGGAAAGUGGAAUUCCUAGUGUAGCGGUGAAAUGCGCAGAUAUUAGGAGGAAUACCGGUGGCGAAGGCGACUUUCUGGCCAUAACCUGACGCUGAGGUACGAAAGCGUGGGUAGCAAACAGG
rnacentral:rRNA from 1 species